rnacentral:sRNA from 1 species
GAUGUAGGCUUUGCCUACCAUCUCUUACCCAUGUCUUUUGAGUACCUUCGUUUCCUCGGCGGGUCCGCCCGCCGAUUGGACAAACUUAAACCCUUUGUAAUUGAAAUCAGCGUCUGAAAAAACAUAAUAGUUACAACUUUCAACAACGGAUCUCUUGGUUCUGGCAUCGAUGAAGAACGCAGCGAAAUGCGAUAAGUAGUGUGAAUUGCAGAAUUCAGUGAAUCAUCGAAUCUUUGAACGCACAUUGCGCCCCUUGGUAUUCCAUGGGGCAUGCCUGUUCGAGCGUCAUUUGUACCUUCAAGCUCUGCUUGGUGUUGGGUGUUUGUCUCGCCUUUGCGUGUAGACUCGCCUUAAAACAAUUGGCAGCCGGCGUAUUGAUUUCGGAGCGCAGUACAUCUCGCGCUUUGCACUCAUAACGACGACGUCCAAAAAGUACUUUUUACACUCGGCGAGUGAAGCGGCAACAGCUCAAAUUUGAAAUCNGGCGUCUUUGGCGUCCGAGUUGUAAUUUGCAGAGGGCGCUUUGGCAUUGGCAGCGGUCCAAGUUCCUUGGAACAGGACGUCACAGAGGGUGAGAAUCCCGUACGUGGUCGCUAGCCUCUACCGUGUAAAGCCCCUUCGACGAGUCGAGUUGUUUGGGAAUGCAGCUCUAAAUGGGAGGUAAAUUUCUUCUAAAGCUAAAUACUGGCCAGAGACCGAUAGCGCACAAGUAGAGUGAUCGAAAGAUGAAAAGCACUUUGGAAAGAGAGUUAAAAAGCACGUGAAAUUGUUGAAAGGGAAGCGCUUGCAGCCAGACUUGCCUGUAGUUGCUCAUCCGGGUUUUUACCCGGUGCACUCUUCUAUAGGCAGGCCAGCAUCAGUUUGGGCGGUUGGAUAAAGGUCUCUGUCACGUACCUCCUCUCGGGGAGAACUUAUAGGGGAGACGUAAUGCAACCAGCCUGGACUGAGGUCCGCGCAUCUGCUAGGAUGCUGGCGUAAUGGCUGUAAGCGGCCCGUCUUGAAACACGGACCAAGGAGUCUAACAUCUAUGCGAGUGUUUGGGUGUCAAGCCCGAGCGCGUAAUGAAAGUGAACGGAGGUGGGAACCUUUCGGGGUGCACCAUCGACCGAUCCUGAUGUCUUCGGAUGGAUUUGAGUAAGAGCAUA